rnacentral:rRNA from 1 species
GAUAAACGCUGGCGGCGUGCCUAACACAUGCAAGUCGAACGCCCUUUUGCGCAAGUGAGAGGGAGUGGCGGACGGGUGAGUACCACGUGGGUACCUACUUUGUAGGUGAGGAAUACCACCGAGAAAUACGGUGACAAGACCGCAUACGCUCGGGCGAACCGAGCAAAGUACAUGCAAAUAGACGCCACAAGAUGAGCCUGCGCCUGAUUAGCUGGUUGGUGAGGUAACAGCUCACCAAGGCGACGAUCAGUAGCUGGUCUGAGAGGAUGAUCAGCCACACUGGGAUUGAGAACGG